ACCUACAUACACACAAGCAAUGCUUUAAACUUAGCACUAGAUUUCAUUCUGAUACUUACUGGCACAGUAUGAUGACUCCUUGUAUCCACACGUGGUAAUUUGAUGGAGUUGACACAAGAGCCAUAUAGGACGUACCAAGCCUGUACCAUACCAAUACUAUACCACUUCUCAUUUUUUGGUACUAAAAUUAUUGUGUUUAAGC
rnacentral:lncRNA from 1 species